rnacentral:rRNA from 1 species
UGGGGAAUUUUCCGCAAUGGACGAAAGUCUGACGGAGCAACGCCGCGUGAGGGACGAAGGCCUCUGGGCUGUAAACCUCUUUUCUCAAGGAAGAAGAUAUGACGGUACUUGAGGAAUAAGCCACGGCUAAUUCCGUGCCAGCAGCCGCGGUAAUACGGGAGUGGCAAGCGUUAUCCGGAAUUAUUGGGCGUAAAGCGUCCGCAGGCGGCCUUACAAGUCUGCUGUAAAAACGUGGAGCUUAACUCCAUCAUCGCAGUGGAAACUGUAGGGCUUGAGUAUGGUAGGGGCAGAGGGAAUUCCCGGUGUAGCGGUGAAAUGCGUAGAUAUCGGGAAGAACACCAGUGGCGAAGGCGCUCUGCUGGGCCAUAACUGACGCUCAUGGACGAAAGCCAGGGGAGCGAAAGGG